GAACUUCGCCAAACUUCCGAUGGGCGUCGUGGGCGCCACAGACAUGCAGUUCAAAGGCAGAGUUCAGUUAACUCAAGCUAUUACAAUUCACUCAGUCGUGGCGUCUCUAGGGGCAGCGGAAGAACCGUGGGUGUGAUCCGUGAGCACAGACGCGCAGAUCUGUGGGGAAGCAACAUGUAGACAUGGAUGGAAGAUGGGAGACCUAGCUCUAGCUGCCUGAGCUGUCCACCGGCAAGAUGAACCCACAAGCGCCAUGGUGGACAAAGAGUUAUCUGGCCAUACAUUUUUUUUGUAACAACGCGCUGUCGGUGGCGGCAACAGUUCAGUGCGGCGAGACGGCCGGUGUGUGCGCUGGGGCACUGGCGAGACUCCCUGACAGGCAUAUUCUGGUGACUACUUGUGUUCUCGUGAAAUCCAUCCUCUGAUUACAUUGUUUCGGCAUGUUUAGCUGGAAGGAACCACUACCAUGUCCACCCAAAAAAGGGAAGACAACAUUAGGGAGUUCUAUGGUAACUAAACAAACGUCCUGC